rnacentral:rRNA from 1 species
GACGAACGCUGGCGGCGUGCCUAAUACAUGCAAGUUGAGCGCUGAAGGUUGGUACUUGUACCGACUGGAUGAGCAGCGAACGGGUGAGUAACGCGUGGGGAAUCUGCCUUUGAGCGGGGGACAACAUUUGGAAACGAAUGCUAAUACCGCAUAAAAACUUUAAACACAAGUUUUAAGUUUGAAAGAUGCAAUUGCAUCACUCAAAGAUGAUCCCGCGUUGUAUUAGCUAGUUGGUGAGGUAAAGGCUCACCAAGGCGAUGAUACAUAGCCGACCUGAGAGGGUGAUCGGCCACAUUGGGACUGAGACACGGCCCAAACUCCUACGGGAGGCAGCAGUAGGGAAUCUUCGGCAAUGGACGAAAGUCUGACCGAGCAACGCCGCGUGAGUGAAGAAGGUUUUCGGAUCGUAAAACCCUGUUGGUAGAGAAGAACGUUGGUGAGAGUGGAAAGCUCAUCAAGUGACGGUAACUACCCAGAAAGGGACGGCUAACUACGUG